GAUGAACGCUGGCGGCGUGCCUAAUACAUGCAAGUCGAGCGAACAGACGAGGCUCUUGCUCCUUUGACGUUAGCGGCGGACGGGUGAGUAACACGUAGGUAACCUACCUAUAAGACUGGGAUAACUUCGGGAAACCGGAGCUAAUACCGGAUAAUAUUUCGAACCGCAUGGUUCGAUAGUGAAAGAUGGCUUUGCUAUCACUUAUAGAUGGACCUGCGCCGUAUUAGCUAGUUGGUAAGGUAACGGCUUACCAAGGCAACGAUACGUAACCGACCUGAGAGGAUGAUCGGCCACACUGGAACUGAGACACGGUCCAGACUCCUACGGGAGGCAGCAGUAGGGAAUCUUCCGCAAUGGGCGAAAGCCUGACGGAGCAACGCCGCGUGAGUGAUGAAGGUCUUCGGAUCGUAAAACUCUGUUAUUAGGGAAGAACAAACGUGUAAGUAAAUGUGCACGUCUUGACGGUACCUAAUCAGAAAGCCACGGCUAACUACGUG
rnacentral:rRNA from 1 species